GGAUGAAUGUGUCUGUUGAUGAUAAUUUUGACUCUGGGUGGUGUUGUUAAAUGAAAAGAACAAAUUGGAACUAAAGGUUUAAAUCUUUAGUUUAAUAUUAUUCCCAGUCUUAUGUUUAAAUCUCAAAGGACAACAUUUAAUGUUGACUAAUACAGGAUUGUCUCCCAGUCAACCAUACAUGCAUGAUUUUUAGAUAUCAUCUCCCAGUCAGCUAUAAAUCAGUGACUUUUCAAUAGUGGACAGAGGGGCUCUAUCACUUUAAUCUCCAUUUGUUAUGGAACAAAAAAGUUAAACCAGCAAAAUAAUUUCACCAGCACGAACCAAUUGGCUGUCCUUUAAGACAUUGGACGAUCCAAAUUAAGGCUUUUACUGGUGCGAACUGCAGCCCCAUAACCAUCAAGCGGCAUACUCAAGGGCUUCAAAAAAAAAGGGGCUUCAAAGGCCUUGUUUCCUUGAAUGCCACAGAACACUGAAAAGUGGAAGAAAGUUUUAUUCUCAGAUGAAAAAAAAAUUAACCGUGAUUGUCCUGAUGGUUUCCAACGUUACAUGAUGUUCCCAGAGAUGUAAACAUGCAGAACACUUUAGAUCUACAACAGAUAAAACUAAAUUCUUUCAAUAAGGCCACGUGGCACUAUAAGAUUAAAAUGCCAGUUAAUAACCCCCCCCACAAAAAAAAAAAAAAAGGAUUACGUGCAUUAAUCUACUUUAAUUAUCAAAAUUGUUUGUCUGCUCUCAAAGAAACAGGGGUUACACAGUAAAUAAGGAAACUGGUCACAACCAAACUCUCAAAAUAAUUCUGGGAAAUCUCCUACAUUGGGUUCGUUCCUCCGUCCCUGCCCUUUCAUUUUUCCUGCGAUUCUGGAAGUGUUUGUGUUUUCAAACCAUAUGCACUCCAUGUCUUCAAGCACCCAGCAGUUCCCAUGUCACACUCAAACGUGGAACUCAUUCAACAAGUAUUAGUUACGUCUUUAAGAUGGCAACGCAAACUAAGGAGAAGAGCUCUGGUAAAUCUUAACAGAGAACUUGAUAUAUAAGUUAAAAUACUGCUUUAUCUAUCAGUCUGGUAAAUCAUUUAUUAUGCUAAAAUCAACAC
ensembl:lncRNA